GGGGGGGGGGGGGGGGGGGGGGGGGGGGGGGAGGGGGGGGGGAGGGGGGGGAAGCGGGCGGGUGGGAGGGUAGCGGCGGACGGGGGAGUAACACGUGGAGAACCUACCUAUAAGACUGGGAUAACUUCGGGAAACCGGAGCUAAUACCGGAUAAUAUUUUGAACCGCAUGGUUCAAAAGUGAAAGACGGUCUUGCUGUCACUUAUAGAUGGAUCCGCGCUGCAUUAGCUAGUUGGUAAGGUAACGGCUUACCAAGGCAACGAUGCAUAGCCGACCUGAGAGGGUGAUCGGCCACACUGGAACUGAGACACGGUCCAGACUCCUACGGGAGGCAGCAGUAGGGAAUCUUCCGCAAUGGGCGAAAGCCUGACGGAGCAACGCCGCGUGAGUGAUGAAGGUCUUCGGAUCGUAAAACUCUGUUAUUAGGGAAGAACAUAUGUGUAAGUAACUGUGCACAUCUUGACGGUACCUAAUCAGAAAGCCACGGCUAACUACGUG
rnacentral:rRNA from 1 species